GGAAUAUUGGACAAUGGGCGCAAGCCUGAUCCAGCCAUGCCGCGUGCAGGAUGACGGUCCUAUGGAUUGUAAACUGCUUUUAUACGAGAAGAAACACUACUUCGUGAAGUAGCUUGACGGUAUCGUAAGAAUAAGGAUCGGCUAACUCCGUGCCAGCAGCCGCGGUAAUACGGAGGAUCCAAGCGUUAUCCGGAAUCAUUGGGUUUAAAGGGUCCGUAGGCGGUUUAAUAAGUCAGUGGUGAAAGCCCAUCGCUCAACGGUGGAACGGCCAUUGAUACUGUUAGACUUGAAUUAUUAGGAAGUAACUAGAAUAUGUAGUGUAGCGGUGAAAUGCUUAGAGAUUACAUGGAAUACCAAUUGCGAAGGCAGGUUACUACUAAUUGAUUGACGCUGAUGGACGAAAGCGUGGGUAGCGAACAGGAUUAGAUACCCGUG
rnacentral:rRNA from 1 species